GACGAACGCUGGCGGCGUGCUUAACACAUGCAAGUCGAGCGGUAAGGCCCUUUCGGGGGUACACGAGCGGCGAACGGGUGAGUAACACGUGGGUGACCUGCCCUCAGCUCUGGGAUAAGCCUGGGAAACCGGGUCCAAUACUGGAUAUGACCCCAUGACGCAUGUUGUGGGGUGGAAAGCCUUGUGCGGCUGAGGAUGGGCCCGCGGCCUAUCAGCUUGUUGGUGGGGUGAUGGCCUACCAAGGCGACGACGGGUAGCCGGCCUGAGAGGGCGACCGGCCACACUGGGACUGAGACACGGCCCAGACUCCUACGGGAGGCAGCAGUGGGGAAUCUUGCGCAAUGGGCGAAAGCCUGACGCAGCGACGCCGCGUGAGGGAUGACGGCCUG
rnacentral:rRNA from 1 species